GGUCCUGUGGUGUAACCGGAAACAUAGCUGCCAACAAUGCCACUGACGAUGCGGGUUCGAAUCCCGCCGGGACCC
rnacentral:tRNA from 1 species